rnacentral:lncRNA from 1 species
AUGCCCGGGCUCCUGCGCUUCCCGGUCCCCACCCCCCCCACCCCUGCCGGGCCCAGGGCGCGAGUGUGCAAGACCCAUUAUUCCGGAACGGCACACGCACGCGGCGGGGGGGCGGCCUCCCCGGGAGGAGGGCGGCGUAAACAAGUUGCAGGGGGAGCCCCCCCUCCCGCGCCGCCCCUGCGCCCCGCACCCAACGCCGCGACGGCCCGCGGCCCGCGCCCUCCCCCUCCCCCCUGCCCCCGCCCCUCCCCCCGCGCGCGCGCGCGGACGGCCCCGCCGGGCCCGCGCCGCCUGGCUCCCGCGAGCACUUUCCUGCCUCGGGCAGAAAUAAACCGGAGGGUUUAUUUUUGUGCAACUUUCCCAAAAUGGCGGAAAUUGGAGCCGAUCUAUAUGAAAUUCUCACACGCUCGGCCGGGAAGGGGGAGGCGGCGCGGAGGGAGGCGCAAACUCUCGGCCGCCGAGCCCCGCCGCGGGUCCGCGGGAGUGUGCGUGCGUGCGGGUGUGCGUGUGCGCGCGGGCCCCGGGCGCGGGGCGCGGGGCGCGGGCGGGGGCGGGGGCGGGGGGCAGCGCACCCACGCGGGGCCCGCAGCCGGGGGCGCCGCCGCCAAGUGGCCCGGCGCCCUCCCCGCGCCCCCCGCGCGCCCCGCGCCCUCCCCGCGCUCCGCGCCCCGCGCCCGCCCUCCCCGCGCGCCGGCACAAAGGCCACACGGGCGGAGGGGGCGCAGGGGGGCGGCGCGCGGGGCUCGCGCUGCCCCCGCGCCGCCCCCGCCGCCGCCCCCCUGCGCGCCCCCCCCCCCGCGCGCCCCCCCUGCGCCCUCGGGCGCGCUCCCCGCCGCCGCCGCCGCCGCCGCGCUCCCCGCCGCGCGCCCGCUGCCCCCGAACGCGACCCGAGUGCGGGGCGCGGGGGGCGCGGGGCGCGCGGUGCGCGCGCGGGGGCCGCGGGGAGGCCGCGGGGAGGCCGCGGAGCCCCCUCGCACCCCGCCCGCCCGCCCGGGCGCCCCCGCCGCCGCCGCGCCCGGCGCCCUCCGCGCGGCCCCCACACCCUUCCCCGGGUGCGCGCAGGCAGAAAAAUACAAGUCUCUCCUCCCCCCAUUUUUUCCUUUCUCUUUUCUCGCUCUUUUGUUCCUCUUUCCUACUCGCGCUCACUCCUGCGCAGGGAGAUGCCCGGCGGCGCCCCCCCGCGCCCCCCGCCGUCCCCGAGUCCCUCGCCCACUUUUUCUCGCCGGGAUUAAGUUUUGA